rnacentral:piRNA from 1 species
UGGCUGUGCCCCUCAUCUGUUAGAUA